UUCUGUUUUUUCAGCUUUCUACAUUCUGUUGUCAAAUUUGUUUCUGUUUCUUGACACAAUUUAUUGGUCUUGUCAUAUUGUGAAUUAUGUGUGGCCAUAUACAUCCCAACUCUCAUUUCCUUGACCAGUACGCGUAGAAGAUAUUGUGGACCCAAUCUGAAAAGAAACUUCUUUCAGAAUUUUUUUUAUUUGAAGAUUAAACAUUUCCUUUUCAAGAUAACACUUAAGUCCACUAUUUUCUUUUUAUAAGUCUGUAUUAAC
rnacentral:lncRNA from 1 species